rnacentral:rRNA from 1 species
UACAGAGAGUGCGAACGUUGUUCGGAAUUACUGGGCUUAAAGCGCACGUAGGCGGUGUCGUAAGUGUCAGGUGAAAUCCCACGGCUCACCCGUGGAACUGCCUGGCAGACUGCGAUACUCGAGUGUGGUAGGGGAGAGCGGAACUCCUGGUGGAGCGGUGAAAUGCGUAGAUAUCAGGAGGAACACCGGUGGUGUAGACGGCUUUCUGGACCGUAACUGACGCUGAGACACGAAAGCGUGGGUAGCAAACAGG